ensembl:lncRNA
AGCAAAGAAACCCUGCUACUGGAAUUAAUCUGCAAAGCUUUGACCUCUGUCAGCUGUUGGCUUUUGACUCCCACUCCUCUGUCUUGCCCUCUCCAAGGCAACGUUAGACUGGAGAACACNGGGGCACAAACCUCCAGUAGUGCCCCCCCAUCCCGAUAAAAGCCUGGGCCUGUUUCUUAUCAUGCAUGGGGUAUAUGUGGGUAUUACACCAAUUAGUCCAGCCGUGCUGCUCAGUGCAGAGGUGGACAGCCAAGCUGUGUCUAUAGACCUGGUGCCCCCCAGGGCCAGCUCUAGCCAUUUCGCCGCCCCAAGCAUGGCGGCAUGCCGCAGGGGGCGCUCUGCCGCUCGCCAGUCCCGCGGCUCCGGUGGACCUCCCGCAGGCGUCCCGCUGGGUCCUGGAGCCGGCCCUGGUGCCCACCGUCCAGAGUAAAGUGGACAUGUCCAUGGAUUGGCUGCAGCAGGAUCUCAGGUGGCUCUCCGACUGGUGGGACCGGGAGCAGGGCACUGAGCAGAUCAAACCCACCUGGAAUAUCAUGGAGAUUUACAGAACUGGGACUGAUCUGAUGGCCAAGAAUCUGUAUUGGAGGCUCACUUACUCUCUGGCUGAGACCCGACUCCUCAGGGACAUUGACCUCGAUGGUGCUGGCGGGAGGCGCUGCAGCUGCUGAAGCAAAUCAACAUGGAGAAGUGGAGGCCGCGGUAUGGCAAAGUCCUGACCUCCUACCACCUGAAGCCAGAUUUUCCAGACCUGAGGGUUUCCAGAAGUUGGCCUCUUUCCGACCACUGCCAACAGAAAGGUCUGGGUUAUCAGUCCUUGGGAGACACCUUCCUCAUUCCUUGGACAAGAUCUCGUCUUCAUGCAUAUCCUCUGACACCACUGAUUCUGAACAACAUCAAACGAGACAGAGACAGAAUCACUCCAGCUGCGCAAACUCGGUCGCGCCAGAUCUGGUUCUCUGACCUGAUUCGUCUCACUUCCUGUCCAGCUGCAGCUCCUGGUCGUUUCCUGUCGGCUGCCCCAGAACUCCAGUCGGUCUCUCCACCCCAGGGUGGCCAUUCUCUGGUUCAGAGCCUGGUUCCUCAAUGGUUCUUGGUGAUAGAGGUUUCCUGCUCAGCAGAGAUAAAACAGAUACAAAGAUCUCUACUAGAAAUACCUUCAGAAAUGGAAGAGAUUUUACCACUGGGGUCCUCAGUGACAGUUUUCACCUCAUCAUUCUUCCCUCUCCGAUGUUCUUGAUUAUCUGAUGGAUUUAAAGAAAUCAGGUAUUUCCACGAGUUCCGUCAGAGUUCAGCCUUUCAUUGCCCUGUGCAAGGAUUUUCAGUCUUUGGUCCAGAAGGAGAAUCUGGCUGAACCACUCAGUAAUAGUGACCACAAUGCAAUUACAUUUAGGGGGAUAAUUAAAAAAAAGACCCCUCCACUAUAACAUUUAACUCUAAUAAGGGGAACUACGCAAGGCAGCUAGUUAGAUGGUAAUUCAAAGGAGCUGUACAAGGGUAAAAUUCCUGCAAGGAACAUAGGGACUAUUUAAAAACACCAUCACCGAGGUGCAGACUAACCGUAUACCCGAAAUCAGAAAAGACAGUAAGAGGACCAGAACAAUGGCACCAUGGCUACUGAGCAGAGUAAUGGAAACCACAGAAGGCAAAAAGGCAUCCUUUCAAAUGUGGAAGUCAAAUCUUAGUGAAGAUAAGAGGAAGGAGCACAAACCCUGGCAGGUUAGAUGUAAAAGUACAAUAAGUCAGGCCCAAGAAAGAAUUUGAGAAGCAACUUGCUAAAGAUUGUGACAGGGUGAACCAACCCUGCGCUGGAGAGGCGAGGGUUAACAAACUGUUCUGGGCCCAAGAGGCCACGCCCCCUCGCCCCUACUGGGCACACUCCCAGUGGUAGGAGCAUUGAAAAGGGAGCCGCUGGGCUCAGUCUGGGCUGACAGAGGAGGAGGGCAGUUGUGGGCAAGAGCCUCCUGGCAGGAAGCCUCCAGGACUUCAAGCCGCUGGGGUCGAACCUCUUAGCUGCAGCGCGGGAAGCCAGCCGGCUGCGGGAGCGGAGAGGGACGACUUGCUGUUGCCAGCAAAGGAGCUGCCAGACACAGAGCAGGGCGAACACAAGAAGGACCCCACGUCCAAGCCCUGGAGAUACCGCUUGAGGGACAAGUGUAGAAAGUGAUUGAAGGAAAGCACCUGCGAGUACUGGGAUCUCUUUGUUUUGAAGGGCCCUGGGUAAGAACCUGGUGGAGUUC